GACGAACGCUGGCGGCGUGCGUAACACAUGCAAGUCGAACGAUGAAGCCGGAGCUUGCUCUGGUGAAUUAGUGGCGAACGGGUGAGUAACACGUGAGUAACCUGCCCUUGACUCUGGGAUAACUGCGGGAAACUGUAGCUAAUACCGGAUACGACCCUCGGCGGCAUCGCCAGGGGGUGGAAAGAAGUUCGGUCACGGAUGGACUCGCGGCCUAUCAGGUAGUUGGUGAGGUAACGGUUCACCAAGGUGACGACGGGUAGCCGGCCUGAGAGGGUGACCGGCCACACUAGGACUGAGAAACGGGCCAGACUCCGACGGGAGGCAGCAGGGGGGAAUAUUGCACAAUGGGCGCAAGCCUGAUGCAGCAACGCCGCGUGAGGGAUGACGGCCUUCGGGUUGUAAACCUCUUUUAGUAGGGAAGAAGCGAAAGUGACGGUACCUGCAGAAAAAGCACCGGCUAACUACGUGCCAGCCGCCGCCGUAA
rnacentral:rRNA from 1 species